rnacentral:rRNA from 1 species
CUAAGAGCAAUUGGUGGAUGCCUAGGCAUAUAGAGGCGAUGAAGGACGUGGCUAGCUGCGAAAAGCCCCGGGAAGGUGCAAACAACCGUUGAUCCGGGGAUCUCCGAAUGGGGCAACCCUUCCCGAUUAAUAUCGGGAAACUCCCGACUGAAUAUAUAGGUCGGGUAGAGCGAACGGGGUGAAUUGACACAUCUAAGUAACCCCAGGAAUAGAAAACAACCGUGAUUCCCAAAGUAGCGGCGAGCGAACUGGGAAGAGCCUAAACCUGCUUUAUGUUAAAGCCUGCCGGCGUUGUAAAGCAGGGGUUGCGGGAUAUUUCAGGAGAGACCGGCAGGUCUCUCGACAAGUCAAAAACCUGUAGAUUAUUCGAACUGUUCUGGAAAGGACAGGCCGUAGAAGGUGACAGCCCUGUAGGAAAAAAUCGGCAGGCUUGUCUGAAAUAUUCCCAAGUACCACGAUCCACGCGGAAUUUUGUGGGAAUCUACCGGGACCACCCGGAAAGGCUAAAUACUCCUAUAUGACCGAUAGUGAACUAGUACCGUGAGGGAAAGGUGAAAAGUACUCCUGGCGGAGAGUGAAAUAGAACCUGAAACCAGUUGCUUACAAUCUGUCGGAGUCCCGAUUAAUCGGGAUGACGGCGUGCCUUUUGCAUAAUGAGCCAGCGAGUUACUCGUGUGUUGCGAGGCUAAUCCAGACGGAGGAGCCGUAGCGAAAGCAAGUCCGAAUAGGGCGAUUAGUAACAUGCGGUAGACCCGAAGCCGAGUGAUCUAUCCAUGGCCAGGAUGAAGCCCCGAUAAUAUCGGGGUGGAGGUCCGAACCCACCAGCGUUGAAAAGCUGGGGGAUGAGCUGUGGAUGGGGGUGAAAGGCCAAUCAAACUCGGUGAUAGCUGGUUCUCCCCGAAAUAGCUUUAGGGCUAGCCUUGCAUAAUAGUAUGACGGAGGUAGAGCACUGAAUGGGCUAGGGGCCUUACCAGGUUACCAACCCCAACCAAACUCCGAAUGCCGUCCAUAUGUUUUGCAGGAGUCAGGCCGUGUGGGAUAAGCUUCACGGCCGAGAGGGAAACAACCCAGAUCGAUAGCUAAGGUCCCUAAAUACAGGGUAAGUGAUAAAGGAUGUGAAAUUACACAGACAGCUAGGAUGUUGGCUUAGAAGCAGCCACUCAUUUAAAGAGUGCGUAAUAGCUCACUAGUCAAGUGGUUUCGCGCCAAUAAUUCUCGGGACUAAUAACCCUGUUACCGAAGCUUCGGAUUCUACCGUUAUGCGGUAGAGUGGUAGGGGAGCGUUCCAUUAACCGUUGAAGGUCAAUCGCGAGGUUGGCUGGAGGACAUGGAAAUGAGUAUGCUGGCAUGAGUAGCGAUAAUGCCGAUGAGAAAUCGGCACACCGAAAGCCUAAGGGUUCCUGAGUAAAGUAAAUCUUCUCAGGGUUAGUCGGACCCUAAGCCGAGGCCGAAAGGCGUAGGCGAUGGAAAACAGGUUGAAUAUUCCUGUACCAUCUGUAUAUUGUUUGAUCUAUGGGGUGACGCAGGAGUGAAAGGUCAGCCGGGUGUUGAACGUCCCGGUUUAAGCAGGUAGGAGGACUGGACAGGCAAAUCCGUCCGGUCAUUACUCCGAGACGCGAAUAGGAGUCCCUAGGACAUAAACUGACCCUAAUCAAACUGACAAGAAAAGCCUCUUUGGUAGAUAUACGGAUGUCCGUACCCGAAACCGACACAGGUAGGCGAGGAGAGUAUCCUAAGGUGCUCGAGAUAGCUCUGGUUAAGGAACUAGGCAAAUUGGCCCCGUAACUUCGGAAUAUGGGGUGCCUCAAGUAGGUGAAAUUUUUUCAAACGUAGCCGAACGAGGUCGCAGUGAAAAGGUCUGGGCGACUGUUUACUAAAAACACAGGUCUCUGCUAAGUCGUAAGACGAUGUAUAGGGACUGACACCUGCCCGGUGCUGGAAGGUUAAAGGGACGUGUUAUCCCGAUUUAUCGGGAGAAGCUCUGAACUGAAGCCCCAGUAAACGGCGGCCGUAACUAUAACGGUCCUAAGGUAGCGAAAUUCCUUGUCGGGUAAGUUCCGACCCGCACGAAUGGUGUAACGACUUGGACACUGUCUCAACCAGAGCCUCGGCGAAAUUGUAAUGCCGGUGAAGAUGCCGGCUACCCGCAGCAGGACAGAAAGACCCCGGAACCUUUACUACAACUUGGCAUUGGAUUUUGAUUUUAUAUGUGUAGGAUAGGUGGGAGACUUUGAAGCCUCGACGCCAGUCGGGGUGGAGUCAACCUUGAAAUACCACCCUUAUAAAGUUAGGAUUCUAACCCGUCUCCUUGAAUCAGGAGAGGGGACAUUGUCAGGCGGGUAGUUUGACUGGGGCGGUCGCCUCCAAAAAUGUAACGGAGGCUCCCAAAGGUUCCCUCAGCACGAUUGGUAACCGUGCGCAGAGUGUAAAGGCAUAAGGGAGCUUAACUGCGAGACCUACAAGUCGAGCAGAUGCGAAAGCAGGGCUUAGUGAUCCGGCGGUAGCGAGUGGAAGUGCCGUCGCUCAAAGGAUAAAAGGUACUCCGGGGAUAACAGGCUGAUCUCCCCCAAGAGUUCACAUCGACGGGGAGGUUUGGCACCUCGAUGUCGGCCCGUCACAUCCUGGGGCUGGAGAAGGUCCCAAGGGUUGGGCUGUUCGCCCAUUAAAGUGGCACGCGAGCUGGGUUUAGAACGUCGUGAGACAGUUCGGUCCUUAUCCGCUGUGGGCGCAGGAGAUUUGAAAGGGGCUACUCUUAGUACGAGAGGACCAGAGUGGACAAACCUCUAGUGUACCAGUUGUGCCGUCAGGUGCAGUGCUGGGUAGCUACGUUUGGUCUGGAUAAACGCUGAAGGCAUAUAAGCGUGAAACCGUCCUUAAGACAAAAUCUCCCUCCCGAUUUAUCGGGACUUAAGGUUCCUUGUAGAUUACGAGGUUGAUAGGUCAUAGGUGUACGCUCCGUAAGGAGUUUAGCCGAGUGAUACUAAUAAACCGUGAGUCUUGACC